UUCGCGAUAAGAAAAAAUUAAUGGAAUGGAAAAAAAUUGGACGAAUUCUAUGUUCCAGGCUGACUAAAUUCAAUACCGUAACAUCGAUUUAUUGAUUACUCGUGUCACUGUCCUCUUAGAAAACGAGAAUCAACACUGGUGACAAAGUACCAGUUGACGUUAACGUAGAAAAUUCAAUUCAUUCGUGGGGAUAUAGUAAAGAGAAAAGAAAAAUGAUGAAACAUGAAAACAAACAGAUAAAAUAUUCAAAUUAUAAAUAUGAUGGUGAUUGGCAGAGACGGUGACAAGUUUGACGACAUCAAUAAAGAAAACGAUUAGGAGUACAAAAAUAUUCUUUUAUUAAUAUGUGAAAUGAAAAUGUAUUUGGGGGAAUUUCCCCCAUACGUAAGAGCUUCUAUUUUAUUUCAAUUUGUUGGAAGAUUUGUUUCUCUCCAAAUAUUUACUUCCAAUUGAGAAAAUUGUUCCCGGCAUUCAUCAGGGCUCGCGUAAAUAAACGGCCAAGUCGGAUGAAUGUAAAUAUCGUUAAUAAAAUUUUUCCAGUUUAUCGAUAUCGUUGUAAAUAAUUAAUUCUAGUGAAUUUCGAGAGAUUACUAAUACAAUUUGGGGCACUCUUAUUAUAACUCGAUCAGGUUAAAUGUCGAAAAAAAUUACCCUAAAAACAGACAUUUGUGUGCAGGUCUAAUUUCGCAUAAUAAAUAAAACGAAUAUGGUGUUUAAAUAAAAGGGUAAAUAAAUCAGGACCAACAUGCGUAAACAAAGUAAUGCGAGAAUCGAAUCGAACGUGGAGAGCUUUCGGGAUGAAAACUCUAUAUUGGGCAAACAGCGAGAGGGAGUAUAGCUAGAAUAAAACAAUUGCUCGUGGUUCUAUCUCGAUUCUCCAUUUGCGGAGUGAAAAUUGAAACAACUUCCGAAUCGUCCGGUAACAUAAAUCGUUCGAAAUGCUUUCGCUCGAGGAAAUGAUGUACUCGACUUCGUGGCCGUUGAAUUACACUUUAGCACCGUUCGACAACUUAACCUACAACAAUACCAACCUCACCGAUCCAAGUUCAGGUGGUAAUCAGUUCAUCCUACCCUGGUGGCGACAAAUGAUCUGGACGGUUCUCUUCGCCGGUAUGAUAGCCGUUGCUACCGGCGGCAACCUAAUCGUCAUAUGGAUCGUUCUGGCCCACAAAAGAAUGCGCACCGUCACCAACUACUUCCUGGUCAACCUGAGCAUCGCGGACGCCAUGGUGUCAACCCUGAACGUGAUAUUCAACUACACCUACAUGCUCAACAGUCACUGGCCUUUUGGAAAUUUGUACUGCAAGAUCAGCCAGUUCAUUGCUGUCCUCACCAUUUGCGCCAGUGUAUUUACGCUAAUGGCCAUUUCCAUAGAUCGAUAUAUGGCGAUAAUGAAUCCCUUGAGACCGCGAAUGGGUCGACGAAUCACCUUGUGCAUUGCGGUCGCCAUAUGGAUGGUCGGCGCUAUUUUGUCCCUCCCGAUGCUCGUCUUCUACACCACCUACACGCAGAACUUCACGAACGGCGAGGUCCGAGUAAUCUGCUACAGUGAUUGGCCGAACAGAAGUGACGACGGCCUCAGCUACGGGGAAUAUCUAUACAACGUGAUAUUCAUGAUACUCACGUACUUCCUGCCGAUUGGAUCAAUGACGUUUACGUACGCCAGAGUUGGUCUUGAAUUGUGGGGCUCCCAGAGCAUAGGAGAAGCAACCCAGCGCCAGUUGGAUAACAUUCGCAGCAAGCGAAGAGUGGUCAAAAUGAUGAUCGUGGUCGUGAUGAUAUUCGCCGUCUGCUGGCUGCCCUUCCACGUUUAUUUCAUAGUGACUUCCUAUUUACCGGACAUCACAAACGAGCCCUACAUUCAGGAGGUCUUCCUAGCGAUCUACUGGCUAGCCAUGUCGAACAGCAUGUACAACCCCAUUAUAUAUUGCUGGAUGAAUUCGCGAUUUCGCCGAGGUUUCGCCCAGUUUUUCUCCUGGUGCCCGUGGGUGCGAAUCGCCCCCGAGCCGACCUUGUCGCGAUCUGAAGCAGUGACGUCACGCUACAGCUGUACCGGAAGUCCGGAUGGUAAUGCAAGAAUUUCACGGAACGGUACGUCUUCACCGUGCGUCUUCGUGCGAGAGACCUUACUCGACUUCGUCAAGUACUCGAAACGAAUCCCGUCUCGAUUUCAACAUUGAAUUCAACUUCGAUGUCGCAAAUGAAAACACGGCAGAAGAAGCCGCCCUUCGCCUUCGCAACCCAAUUCCCAAUCAGUUCACAGUCAUCUAGAUUUCGUUUUUCUGUUCAUCGAUUUUGGAUUUUCUUAUUGUUUCACACAGGUACAGUGCGAAUUCCUCUCCAUCUUCAGUCGAGCCGAUGCAUUGCCGGUGGAAACGGUGCCGGGACGAGAUUUCCCGUCCACCACCGGGGUCACGGAAAGAGGUGGAGAACCUCGCAGAACCGGGGACACG